GGCUGUGUAGUUCAACGGUAUUAGAAUUCACUGUAUUUCACAGUAAGAUCCCAGUUCGAUUCUGUGGCGCCGCCC